rnacentral:lncRNA from 1 species
UUUUUUUCUUAGAGAGAGAGCGUGCAAACGAAGGGGAGGCGCAGAGGGAGGGGGAGAAAGAGGACCUCAAGCAGGCUCCACGCCCAGCACAGAGCCCAACGCGGGGCUCAAUCUCACGACCCUGAGAUCAUGACCUGAGCCAAAAUCAAGAAUCAGAUGCUUAACCAACGCCCUGAAAUCAGCACCCUGAUUUUAUUUUAUAUUAUAUUUUUUGAGGGGCAAAUUUGAAGAAACAUCCUUGCCCACAUAGACUUGGCCAUGGUGCUAUUGCUCAUGGACAUGAGCGGAGGGGUUAUAGGUGUCUCCGUGGUGUCUUAUUUUAUUCUGAACAACAAAAGUUUCAGAACCAAGACCUUUCCUUCUGCCACCUGCCUCUUUCUGUGCCUGAAUCUGCUCUUUCUCCUCUUGUUCCCUGGAGGAAGACGAUUACCCUCUAGUUAUCUCAGCAGUGCAAAAUUCCUCUCAAAAAUCUCCGUAGCCAGGAUUAUUAUCUUAAUUCGUCAAAUUCCAGGAAUACAUCAGUAUGGUAUGUUAUUCAGAGGUUUCUAGAUCUAGUGGGAGUUGAGACAGGCCCCCAGGGUUUUCUGCAGUCAACAUAUGUAAUAGCGCCAGGACUAGGUUUAUACGCUGAAAACAUGGAGCAGCAUUAAUUUGGGUCAUUUUUACAAGCCAUUAUGUAUCGAUUGACCAAAUUAGCUGAAUGUGAUGUGAAUUGAUUAAGGUAGCUAGAUUUACUAAUUGAUUGUACUGAAACAAAAAUCGUUUUGAUUAUAUAGAUGCAGACCAGAUCUUCUAAGAGACUAGAAUAAUGCACUGCGUGAUGGAGUUAUUACCAUGUGCUGUGACUCCCUAUGGUUCACAGGUGCUGGGAACAAAGGUGAGAGGUUAAAGGUGCUAAGUGGCCUAAUGGCUUGGGAAUUGACAGGGAGCAGAUUUCCAGUUUGGAUCGCAGAAAUCCGUGUACACAAGCUCUGCUAUGAGCCAUGUCAACUGUCACUAAAGCAGAGGGGAUGACAGAAAUGAAGCAAAGGCCAUGGAGAAGGCUAUCUGUUGCUAGGAAUAUUCUUCCGAGGGCACACUGCCUCCUGUAUACUGUUCUUUCUCAUUCCAAGUCACAGGGAUGAGUAAAAAAAAGGGGGGGGGGGAAGCAAAAUAAAACACUGACUAGUUAAUGGAGCAGGGACAGGAGCACAACCCAGAACUACUUGCUGAGUCCAGUUUUCAUCAGUCUUAUCAGAUGGGCACUCCCCCUUCUUGGGUGUGGGGUGAAGCACGUUGCUCCACAGUCACACACCCUGGGUUCUGGGCCACCCUUGCCAAUUUGACCCAUUGGCUGACACUUCUCUGCAUCUCAACUCUCUGAUCAGGAAAUCGGCUACAAUCCAUCCCAUCUUGUAGAAUUGUGUUAAGUAUCCGAUGAGAUAAACUCACAUAAGGCACUUAGUCCAGCGUCUUGCACCUUAUAUGUCCUCAAAAAUACGAGCCCUUUUUACGCCCAUCCUCAUUAUUAUAUCCGUCCGUCUUCCCCCUUCAUCAUCACUGAUUUGUCUUGGCUCAUCCUGCUUCUUAAUGCUCAGGCUCAGGUAUGCUUCCUCUGAGGUCCAGAAGCCACUGGUUCUGGCACGCUGCUUCCAAGGAGUUUCCUGUUGCACUGGCUUUGGGUUGGAUCGGCGGCCAGGGGAAAUGAAGUGAUAGCUAACGCUGCCUAAGGGAAAGAGGCCUGGUGCCAUAAAACACUGCCAGCAUGACAUAAUUUCCCACUGCUAAGAUUAGCAUCUCUUGCAGAAUCAGAAUACAGUAGUAGAGAUAACUCAGAGUAAAUUAAAUGAUUACUCUGCAAUCAACUUGCAAACUGCCCUUUUACUUUCAGUAAAAUAUGCAUCUCUUUUCUGACGCAUGUUUAUGACACAGAUUACCCACAUUUGCUGCCCUCUGGAGAAUAAAGAGGAGCCCUCCUCUAGAUUCCCUCUGCAGAGAGGUUUCAAAUUCUGGCAGAUAGAGACAGCAAUGCUAUUAUUCACAGGAACGGAUUCCACAGGCUGUGUGUCUCCCAUGUGAGCAAAAGCAUUUCAUCAAAUUGUUGUAUUGUUUAAAGCAAGGCUGCUUAUGGCCGUAAAGAGGGCUCCAGCCACCUACUUCGACUCCAGGUACACCAACACCAACACACAUCCUGCCUGCAGCCCACUCCUUCGCCUUCUUACUUACUAACCUUUAUCUCAACCCUGAAACCUUCAAUUCUUUUCCCAAUCCAUAGCCUUAACCUUGGCAUUUUUCAAGAACCAGUCCGUCCUUUGAAGAUGCUUAUCCUUCACAGAGUUACUUUAAAAGUAGGUCUCAAAACCGAAAAUGGAUUCAUUGGAACUCUGCUUCUAAACGAUCUAAAUCAGAGAGUGCCCUGUCCUGGUGGUGGUUAAUCCUGGCUGUGCCUCCGAAUCCCCUCUGGUGAUUUGACGGGGAUAUGAGGGCCUCAGCCCUAGAGACCAUCAAGGGGGGUAUGAGGCUUCAGAAUGAGAACUUCUACAAACUUCCACACGGCCUACAGUGUGCAGCCAGCCUGUGAACCAUUUUGCUUUUCAUUUUGCCACUCCGAGUACCCUCAAGGUCCUACAUGAGAAACUCCUUUUAGGAUUCGAAGCCAAGGAAAUUUUUUUCUAAUAAAGACACAGCUUUCUCUCUUUUCCGAAAGAGAGAGAUUUAUUAUAAUUCACUUUACUUCUUAUUAUACCUGAUAGAAGGAAACUUAGAGUAAAUUUAAGGUUCAAUCAUAGAAGCCAUCUGACCUCUCAUGGCAAGUAUAUUCAAGCCCUUAUUUCUUGAUGUAAUUUUAAUAUCUCUCAUAAAUAUGUUUGUUAUAUAUUUUACUGUGAGUUUCUUUAUAUUCUUGAGGGAGUUGUGUCUUGUUUUGGCUCUUCAAUUUUCUCAACGAUCCAAGAGUGAAAAUGGGCUAAAUAAUAAUAAUUACCACUAGUGCUCUUCCUCCUCUUCCUACUAUUACUGCUGAUAUUUCUUGCAGUUUCUUGAAUGUUCUAUAUACCAGAUCCUGUGACAGGGGACUCAUGUAUGCAACCCAUGUCAAUUGCCCUUCUUUCUCUACAUAGGGGGCUAAAUUUGGAUUCAGCACCCAACCGUCUAUAGCUUGCUCAGUUCCUGAUCAAGAAAUCCUUCUCGGGGAUUUUUGUUCGUUCUGAGCAGGAAUCCCAGCUCUCACAGCUGCCUCAACUUUUCUCCGUUUAUAAGAAUAUGCAUGUUUGUCCCAGAUGCGAAACUCAACUUUUCUUCAUACUUGUCAUUGGAAGUCCUUUCAUAAAAAGCUUCACCAAGAGACUAAGUCUUCCCAAAGAAUCAAGGGGGCUGAGGACGUUUACACUACAAUUUAACUGCAUAUUAGACCUUUUUUAUCUAAAAAGUUCUGUUUUGCUACUCUAAUAAAUGAAAGGUUUGCCCACUGGUUAUUUCCCUAGAUUAGGGAUCAGCAAACCUCUUCUGUGCAGGAUGGGAGGGUAACUACUUUAGGCUUCGUGGACCAUAUGGUCUUUGUCACAACUACUCAACUCUGCCCUGGUCCUGUGAAAGCUGCCGCAGACGGUAUGUAAACAAAUGAGUCCUGACUCUAUUCAAUACAACUUUAUUCAAAAAACAGGUGGCAGGCUGAAUUUGGCCUGUAGG